ensembl:snRNA U6 U6 spliceosomal RNA
UUGCUUCAGCAGCACGUAUACUGAAAUUGGAAUAACACAGAAAAGAUUGGCUUGGCCUCUGCACAAGGGCGACGUUCAUAUCCGUGAUGCAGUCCAUAUUUUU